AACGAACGCUGGCGGCAUGCCUAACACAUGCAAGUCGAACGAGACCUUCGGGUCUAGUGGCGCACGGGUGCGUAACGCGUGGGAACCUGCCCUUAGGUUCGGAAUAACUCCCCGAAAGGGGUGCAAAUACCGGAUAAGUUCUUCGGACCAAAGAUUUAUCGCCUUUGGAUGGGCCCGCGUUGGAUUAGCUAGUUGGUAGGGUAAAAGCCUACCAAGGCGACGAUCCAUAGCUGGUCUGAGAGGAUGAGCAGCCACACUGGGACUGAGACACGGCCCAGACUCCUACGGGAGGCAGCAGUGGGGAAUAUUGGACAAUGGGCGAAAGCCUGAUCCAGCAAUGCCGCGUGAGUGAUGAAGGCCUUAGGGUUGUAAAGCUCUUUUACCCGGGAUGAUAAUGACAGUACCGGGAGAAUAAGCUCCGGCUAACUCCGUG
rnacentral:rRNA from 1 species